rnacentral:rRNA from 1 species
GUGCCAGCCGCCGCGGUAAUACAGAGGUCCCAAGCGUUGUUCGGAUUCACUGGGCGUAAAGGGUGCGUAGGUGGUGGAUUAAGUCGGGUGUGAAAUCUCCGGGCUCAACCCGGAGCGUGCGCCCGAAACUGAUCUGCUAGAGGAUAGGAGGGGAGACUGGAAUUCUCGGUGUAGCAGUGAAAUGCGUAGAUAUCGAGAGGAACACCGGUGGCGAAGGCGAGUCUCUGGACUAUUCCUGACACUGAAUCACGAAAGCCGGGGGAGCAAACAGGAUUAGAUACCCUGGUAGUCC